CAGGAUUGGGUAUGUAAAGAGUAUAAGCGGAAGAUUUCCAGUGUCCCAUUGUUUUGAUGAUGUGCGGAGGAAUGUGGUUAGCAGAAGCUGUAGAUGCUGCUCCGAUUCGAAAAAAAUGACCCGAAAAUUGACUAGGGUUCAAGCCGAGUCUAGUCAACAGCAGUCUUACAUAGAGCAUAAACUUUGCUGUAGUUAGAACGUUACCGUGCAGUUCUAGCAAAGGUUGUAAUGGUUGUUUGUGGAGUGAUAGUAGAUAAUUGUCAAAAUUUUGUACAGGGCACCAUUUGUAAUGAGUAGGGUACAAGGGGAUCGUAACGGUAUGACCUAUGGUGCUGGUUUUUGAGUGUUUUAGCGUGAGUAGGUAAUGGUCGUUCUGUUUCGCUAAGUCCAUAGUUCUUAGGUAAUCAGGGGACGUGAUAGUCCUAGUUGUGAAUUCGUUGGGACGGAGGAAUCCAUAAAAAGCAAGAUAUAUGGGGCUGAUUUUAUUACCGUGUUUGUCCUAGGCUCAAAAGGAGAGGAAUCUAACAAGUUGACUAGUGCAUGAAAUAUAUGGUUAUCAAUAGGUAGUCGAUUCCCGGGGAUAUGUGUAUCUAAUUUCUUAAUGCCUCUAAGAACUGUCUUGAUUCGUGGCGUUGGGUUGUUGGAUAAGCAUGUGGUGUUGAAUGCCCGUAAGGUAUAGUUUUAUAGUGUUAAAUGAUAGUUUAAGGUUGAUGUGGCAAAAAGAAGUGAAACCCAAUAUUGAUUCUAUCGUGAACAUAUCGUGAAUGUGAAAUUCAGUGAUGAAUUUUUUUGAAUAUGUGAAAAGCUCUGUCGUAAGUGUUUCUAGUGUUUACACAAAGUGCCAGGUGAGAAAUGUGACGUGCGUGAUUUAACAAAGCUUUUAAUCCAUUAUCAUGUCUGUGAAAAGUGGGGCUGGAGUUGCCCGUCUGGAGGCGGUGGGUAGUGUCGUGAAGAAUUCCUGAAAACGAAAUCGAGACAAGUGAUCAGCACUGAUGUUUGUGCACCCUGGAACGUGAAAACAUGUUAGAAAGAAUUGACAAGUGGCUGCUACCCAUGUGAGUCGUCUUAAUAGCCUCAUAAUUACCAGGGAUGAUGACCGGCCUUUGUUGACAAUAUGGCAAGUAGCCAUAUUAUCAGAAUAGCACCACACCAUGUGACCGGACCACUGGCGGCCCCAGGUAACGGCCGCAGCCACGAUGGGGUACAAUUCGAAUAAAGCUGAGGUCUCUGUGAAUUUUG